GAUAAGUAAUGUGAAUUGCAGAAUUCAGUGAAUCAUCGAAUCUUUGAACGCACCUUGCGCUCCUUGGUAUUCCGAGGAGCAUGCCUGUUUGAGUAUCAUUC
rnacentral:rRNA from 1 species